rnacentral:tRNA from 1 species
GCGCGGGUGGCGGAACUGGCAGACGCGCACGCUUGAGGGGCGUGUGGGGCAACCUGUGCGGGUUCGAGUCCCGCCUCGCGCACCA